rnacentral:rRNA from 1 species
AUUGAACGCUGGCGGCAGGCCUAACACAUGCAAGUCGAGCGGAUGAGAGGAGCUUGCUCCUUGAUUUAGCGGCGGACGGGUGAGUAAUGCCUAGGAAUCUGCCUGGUAGUGGGGGAUAACGUUCCGAAAGGAACGCUAAUACCGCGUACGUCCUACGGGAGAAAGCAGGGGACCUUCGGGCCUUGCGCUAUCAGAUGAGCCUAGGUCGGAUUAGCUAGUUGGUGAGGUAAUGGCUCACCAAGGCGACGAUCCGUAACUGGUCUGAGAGGAUGAUCAGUCACACUGGAACUGAGACACGGUCCAGACUCCUACGGGAGGCAGCAGUGGGGAAUAUUGGACAGUGGGCGAAAGCCUGAUCCAGCCAUGCCGCGUGUGUGAAGAAGGUCUUCGGAUUGUAAAGCACUUUAAGUUGGGAGGAAGGGCAGUAAGUUAAUACCUUGCUGUUUUGACGUUACCGACAGAAUAAGCACCGGCUAACUUCGUGCCAGCCGCCGCCGUAAGAC